AGUAGUUUGAUCAGUGCAGAGACGACGCUGGCGGCGCGCCUAACACAUGCAAGUCGAACGAGACACGAUCUUGAUUCUUUCGGGGAAGAUGGAUCAAUGUUUAGUGGCGGACGGGUGAGUAAUGCGUGAACAAUCUGCCUUAUAGAAGGGGAUAACAACUAGAAAUGGUCGCUAAUACCUAAUAAUGCAUAGAUUUCGCAUGAUAUAUAUGCCAAAGGGAAUUCGCAAGAAUUUUGCUAUAAGAUGAGUUCACGUCUGAUUAGAUUGUUGGUGGGGUAACGGCUCACCAAGUCUACGAUCAGUAGCCGAACUGAGAGGUUGAACGGCCACAUUGGGACUGAGACACGGCCCAGACUCC
rnacentral:rRNA from 1 species